AUCAAGACCGCAUAAAAUGUAUAUGUACAUUCACCAAAUAUUCAGCUCUUAUAAGUGUAAAGCUCAUUUUGUAUGAAAACAACUGCAACUCAUUCAUUUUUGGUUUCAUGACCAGUUUUUCUCCCGUGUGUCUGCCCUCCGGGUUUUCCUACACUUUAUUGUGCCGCUACAUCCUUCACUUGCACUGAGCAGUUGCAUCAAAAGCCUCCACCUGUCACGUGCGUUCGCGCAUCUUUGUUGCUUAGUAACGGCCGUACGGUGGCCGAGGCUGUUUAACACUGUCAUCUCAAGAUGAAGGCAUGUGAAGUGGUUGAAAUUUGUGUGUCUCACGGUCAAUGCGUGAGGCUUCAUAACCCUGAAUGAUUUUAGAUGUGCAUUGAGAGACUACUGUAACGGACUGUCUCAUCCAGCCGAAGAUACACUGGCUACCAUGGCCUGAAAACGGAGCAGGCAGGUCUACAUGGAUCUCUGCUGGCCGACAGUUAAACGGGUCAUCAUCUCUGCGCACAUCGGUCUCUGAAGGGCUUUAGCCUGCUAAACUAUGGAAGUGCACAAUCAACCUUGACGAAGCGUCGCGGUCAAUGCACCAAUGUAACCGAUCGCUCUAGGUUUGUCAAUGAUGUAAUCAUGACACAUUAAUAACCGCCGUUACACUACAACAAAAAAUAUAGAGAGAUAUAUAGAAUGGGUCCUUGCUAAUGUCAAGCCCUGGUAUGAGUAACUUUCCAUCGAAGUGCUACUAAAAUUGUUAGUAUUUUAUUUUUUUAUCUUUGGACAAGUUUGGCAGGCCAGAUUAAAAAGCCCAACGGGGCCGUACUUUGCUCACGUCUGUCCCAUACCCUCUCAAUGGGAUUGGAAUGGUACUGUAUACUUGACGCCUACAAACAUUUCUUGAGGACUUGAAAUAAUGUGUCAUUGAGUAUGGACGAGCUCAUGCUGGGGCCCAGUCUGUGGCUAUUAUGGCUUGGAACUGAUUCCCAUCUGCCAUCCCUGUGCGCACAGCGGCCGUGUAGCACGCACAGCACAGCUUAAGCACAGCUUUGUGUGGCUGUGUGUGGGCAUGUUUUUUGAUUGUGUGCUGCUGGGACCAGUAAUUGAACUUAUUUAUUGGAUGUCAGUUUGACAAGGAUUAGAUGUCAAACUCUAAGCUGCAAAGUAUUUUUCGAAGUUCACUGCUUCUUUAGUGCUUUGUGCCAAGGGAGUAAUCAGUUUUGAAACCAGUAUGCAAAUUGAAUUCGCCCUGUGAAUAAAUGCGCGUGCUCUUUGAUUUCCUUUUUCUUCUUCAAUGAUUUAAUAUCUUGGUAUCUCCACUCUGUAUUGCUGCCUUUACCUGUUUGCAUAAAAAUCCCUUGAUGCAGGAUUGUUAGUGACAGAGCCAACCCACCACCUGAUCCAAUAAAACAAUUUUAAUUACAGGAUAAAAUGCAGUUUUUGAUUGAUCAAAUCCAUGUUUUUUAAGUUGAGUUGUAUCGAUAUGCUGUGCUCGGGGUAAUCCGGGGUUUCCGCCACACAUGGCGUUUUGCAUUGAGGCCAAAAGGUGCAAUUUUGGUCUCAUCUGACCAGAUCAUCUUCCACGUUUGCUGCAUCUCUCACAUGGCUUGUGGCAAACUCCAAACGGGGUUUACUUUCAGCUUUAUUAUUGGCACUCGUCCAUUAAGGCCAGAAUAGUGGUGCACAUGGCUAAUAGUUGUCCUGUGGACAGAUUGUCCCACCUCAGCUGUGGAUCUUUGCAGCUCCUGUAGUUACCAUGGGCCUCUUGGUUACUUCUCUGAUUCGUUUUCUCCUUGUCCGGCUUAGCAGUUUGGGUGGUGGUGGGAAGUAGAGGAGCGUGCCUUUUGCGGUAUAAACCAUAAAAUGUGUUAUAAUGACUAUACUGUUGUGUCUCGGGUGUAAUGGUUCACUGAAGACACCAAGGCGAAUGGACGUUGCGGCAUGAAUCCUUUUAUUCAUAAGCAGUACCAACAGUUAUCAAACAACACCCCCAUCAGUAUGGUGUAACGUUACUCACAGACAAUAAAACACCGGAACUCUUCUAGCUACUGUAGAGUAGAGAGCAUUUAGUGCACACCAGGAUACGGCCAUGAUUCUGAAACUGUGUAAUCAAUAAAGUAAUGAGAAUAUUAAACCACUAAUUUUGAAACUGUAAUCAAUGGAAUAAUACCAAUGUACAGCUAAGAUUGUUUUCAAUGUAAUGUGAUCAGCCAAAAUCCAUGCAUAUGACACUGAAAUUGACAGAGACAUUCAAAAUCCAAGUUACAUUGAACUCACCAGGAGACCACUCCCAGCGGCGUGGAAACUAACUUGCAUGCCUUUACUGAUCUGUAUAAAUACCUGUAGGCACCCAUUGUUCUAAGAGUUCGUUGGUAGAAGCAAGAGAGUGAUUAUGUUAUGUGUACAUGAAUAAGCUUUAGGUCAAAGAUGUGAUAAUUGAAUGUGUUGCUCGGUGAGGGCCAGAUGAAGCCAGGAGAGAAAGUCAUAAAAUUCUUGAAGGCAGAAAGGAAUGUGAAGAAGACAACAUGGGAGGAGCUACGGUUGAAGAUUGGGCCAAUCUGUAAAACAUGAGGUCCUAUGACCAAUUUAAAAAUAAUCAGAAGAAGAAGAAGAAUUUCAAAUUGUGUAGCUGUUAACUGCCUUGACAAGCUAUGCAGAUGUAAGAACACAAAUGCAGUUCACUUACCAAAUGCUAUUUUCUAUUUACAGACAAAGUUCAACCUGGAGUUUUACUUGAUAUUACGAUCUGCUAGCUAGUUUUUGACAAGUCAUGCUGCCCCUCUGACCUAUCACGGGGCACGUUGAUGCUACGCCAUAUUUUAAUGCUCAUGUACUGAUGUGGCUACCUCUGUGCUAGUGGCACGUUAAAGAAAACGCCUGUAACUGGUUGUAUAUGGACCCAAAUACAAAAGACAAUAAUAAUGGAGCCCGGUCCUUUUACCUGGGCUACUGUGGUGCUGGAUUCCCCCCGGAUUGGUAUGUAUGAUGCGCUGCUCUGCCAGCCUUAAUCACCCCUGCCUUCAUCUUGGUUUGCAGACAUAAUCCACCGACACGUUAUGAGUGUUAUGGAUCUUAGUUUUAUUUCUUACAUAUAAUGUUUUGUUCACAAUGGAACCAACUCUCGUGCCGCGACAGCGGUGAAAACCCUUUCGCUCUCCGGGUCCAACACCUGAUGUCAAUUGUUACACAAUCAAUUCUAUAAGUGUGCACAGGACCCAAGAACAGCGCCACCCAGUGUACAGAAUAAAAUAAAGACAUUUGAUGUGAACAUUUGGCUCCUACAGACCAGAAGAUUCUGAGAUCUUUGCCUUUUAUUACAAACCUUUCUAGAACAGAAGGUUAAUCAGUCAGAAGACUGGUAGGUUUACCGGGAGUCAGGCAAGGUGGGUUGAGCAUGGAAAACAAUCUGGCGGUGUGUGUCUGGGAGGCAGGAUUUUAUAUAGCAGCUUGAAAAAUUAUCAGAGGCAUCCAUCCAUCUUCAACCGCUUAUCCGGGGUCGCGGGGGCUCCGGCAGGGGACCCCAAAUUUCCCUUUCCCGGGCCACAUCUACCAGCUCUGACUGGGGGAUCCCAGGGCGUUCCCAGGCUGGUUUGGCGAUAUAAUCUGUCCACCUAGUCCUGGGUCUUCCUCGGGGCCUCUUCCCAGCUGGCCGUGCCAGGAAGACCUCCCAGGUAACCCUAACCCCGCUGCUCCGAUUCUCCAGCCAAACUCACACUCCAUCUCCCCUUCACUCGUGAACAAGACCUCGAGGUACUCCUUCACCUGGGGUAAGGUCACAUUACUUAGCCGGAGUAGGCAAAUCCAUUGGUUUCCUGCUGUGAACCAUCACCUCAGGUUUAGAGGUGCUAAUCCUCAUCCCAAACGCUUCACACUCUGCUGCGAACCGCUCCAUUGAGAGUUGGAGGUCACAGACAGAAGAUGCCACCAGGACUACAUCAUCUGCAAAAAGCAG
ensembl:lncRNA